rnacentral:rRNA from 1 species
GACGAACGCUGGCGGCGUGCUUAACACAUGCAAGUCGAACGGAAAGGCCCUGCUUUUGUGGGGUGCUCGAGUGGCGAACGGGUGAGUAACACUUGAGUAACCUGCCCUUGACUUUGGGAUAACUUCAGGAAACUGGGGCUAAUACCGUAUAGGAUCUCCUGCUGCAUGUUGGUGGUUGGUAAGUUUCGGCGGUUGGGUAUGGACUCGCGGCUUAUCAGCUUGUUGGUGGGGUAGUGGCUUACCAAGGCUUUGACGGGUAGCCGGCCUGAGAGGGUGACCGCCAACAUUGGGACUGAGAUACGGCACAGACUGCAACGGGAGGCAGCAGUGGGGAAUAUUGCACAAUGGGAGGAAGCGUGAUGAAGCAACGCAGCGUGCGGGAUGAAGGGCUUCGGGUUGUAAAACGAUGUAGCAUGUGACGAAGAGUGAGUGACGGUAAUGGGUAAAGAAGCACCGGCUAACUACGUG